CCGUAGCUCAACUGGAUAGAGCACCGGUCUUCGGAACCGGGGGUUGGAGGUUCGAAUCCUCCCGGG
rnacentral:tRNA from 1 species